UACGUAGGGGGGCGAGCGUUGUCCGGAUUUAUUGGGCGUAAAGAGCUCGUAGGCGGCUUGUCGCGUCGUCCGUGAAAACUUGGGGCUCAACCCCAAGCUUGCGGUCGAUACGGGCAGGCUAGAGUUCGGUAGGGGAGACUGGAAUUCCUGGUGUAGCGGUGAAAUGCGCAGAUAUCAGGAGGAACACCGGUGGCGAAGGCGGGUCUCUGGGCCGAUACUGACGCUGAGGAGCGAAAGCGUGGGGAGCGAACAGG
rnacentral:rRNA from 1 species